UACGAGGGGUGCAAGCGUUACUCGGAAUUACUGGGCGUAAAGCGUGCGUAGGUGGUUUGUUAAGUCUGAUGUGAAAGCCCUGGGCUCAACCUGGGAAUUGCAUUGGAUACUGGCAGGCUAGAGUGCGGUAGAGGGUAGUGGAAUUCCCGGUGUAGCAGUGAAAUGCGUAGAGAUCGGGAGGAACACCAGUGGCGAAGGCGACUACCUGGACCAGCACUGACACUGAGGCACGAAAGCGUGGGGAGCAAACAGG
rnacentral:rRNA from 1 species